rnacentral:rRNA from 1 species
AUUGAACGCUGGCGGCGGGCUUAACACAUGCAAGUCGAGCGAGCGGCGGACGGGUGAGUAAUGUCUGGGAACCUGCCUGGUGGAGGGGGAUAACUACUGGAAACGGUAGCUAAUACCGCAUACCAUCAGAUGUGCCCAGAUGGGAUUGUCUGGUAGGUGGGGUAAUGGCUCACCUAGGCGACGAGCCCUAGCUGGUCGGAGAGGAGGACCAGCCACACUGGAACUGAGACACGGACCAGAGUCCUAGGGUAGGCAGCAGUGGGGAAUAGUGCACAAUGGGCGCAAGCCUGAUGCAGCCAUGCCGCGUGUGUGAAGAAGGCCUUCGGGUUGUAAAGCACGUUCAGCGAGGAGGCGGUACUCGCAGAAGAAGCACCGGCUAACUCCGUGCCAGCAGCCGCGGUAAUUC